AUAGACAAUGAUUCGCCAUGUAGGCAAAGACUGCUUAUCUGGAUGUUUAUUCACUUCCUACGCAUUCGUAAAAGUCAUCUGUGUUUUAGGUUAAAUCACCACAAUGUCUCCUUCAUGUGUCUCCCUAGUUCACCCUUUGCCUCAUAAAGAUGUUUACUGCUUCUUACGACACCUCCUGUUUUAGGGCCCUCAGUCCCCAGGGACAGCAACUGGUGUGGCGCUGUUUAUCUCCAGGAUGAACAGAAGGCGAAAAGGAUGCAGGCGGUCAGGAGAUAGACAAAUGUCACGCUGCCCAAAGUUUAGGUCAGGAAACGGAACUAAUCUAUAGAAAAGAUAAAUCUCUUCACUUCUAAGGUAGAAACGACAGCGACAGCCAUCUGCUGACGUAAUAAUCAUUAGGACAGAGACUGCAGCUGGCUCCGUCAAGUCUGAGAAAUAAGAUGAAGUGUUUUGUUUAGAAUCAAAGGGUUUUUUUCUCUAUAGGUGAUAAAACUUUACUGUUGGGGCAAAAGAGGAUAAAAGGGUUGGUCUAGGGAUACGCGGGCACCAGAAUGUGUAAUGUCACCUUGUUACUCUGUUGCAUUGUGAACUGCCAUUCUCGUCAUUUUGUUUGAUUGUUCUCUCGAGAAAAUAAUUAAACUCUUUCACCGAAUAUCCAAACUUUUAAUCCAGUCUCUAGCCUGUCUUUAUUUUUGUUUCAACAAGGUCUCUUCUUCAUUCACAAAUUCCUCCCUCGCUGAACCGAAACUUCCACAACAAACUUGGCGUUGUCGGCAGGAUUUCAAGGAGGGAUCAGAACGGGACUCCGCUGGUGACUGAUGACAGCUAGCACCCAGGGAUCUGAGGAUCACCUGCCUCUAAACCUCGCCAAAACAUCUUUGAGAGACAGAGGGUCAGAACCGCGGAGGGCUCGCUGAUUCCACUCUGAAAUCCAAACGAAAAGGAAGCAAUUUCAAACAGCGGGGUUGUCCAGUGAACAAAGACAGCCUUUCUGGGUUGCCUUCUUAUGUGAUGGUAAGGCCUACACAUUCACACGUUUAGGAUAAGGAUUUUUUAUUGACAGCCCAACUGUCUACAACAAAGCACUGAGAGAGAGCCUUGAAAGAUUAACUAUUACACUAUUGCACUGUUGUGCCACCUGGCAGCAGAAGGGCACAAAGCUAGUUUAGCCAAGCUGCAAUUUGUGAAUAAAGGAGUGCAUUUUCUUUGGGUCAUGACAUUUCAGCGUCAGGGAAAACAUUGUCCUCAUCUCGAAUUGAGAAAUAGUUUUUCUCCCAAAACUUGAAACAAAGAAACUAAUUAUGUCAUUUCUAUGGAUGUGUUCCUAUUGUUGUGUUUUCAUCCCAAAUUAUGCUCAGUUAGUUCAGCCUUCAGCUGACAUAAUACAUGGUAACAACUUGUCUUCAGAUGACCAAGGGGGACUAGGCGUUUGUAAGUCUUAAAAAAGCUUUUCAAAGCCCUCCAACCUUAGGUUUGCCAAACCCUAAACUUCCAUUCACUCAGACAGUGGGUGAACAUUUGGGCUGCAUGACGUUUGUUCUCUUGCAGCCUCACGGUGACAGGCUCAGGCCUGUGGCCUAUUUUAGCUCCAUUAACAUUGUUAGUGCCACAUGUAGUUUCUCUGAUCCUAUUGGAGCAACGACCUUCACAUUUAUCUGCAGCACGAUAUCUAUGGUAUCACGCAUGUCUGCUUGAUAUGCCUAAUGUCACUGUUAAACAUUUUACAGUGCUUAACCCUGCUUCUCUUAUUCCUACGCCAGGAAAGGGAAAGCCACAUGACUGUUUGGCUGAGUUGCAACACACCUGUGCUCCGCGCCCAGAUCUGACUGACAAAUCAGUGCCAAACUCAGAUCUGGUUUUGUAGGUGGAUGGGUCAGCCUCACGCUGCCCUGACACCGGACAGGGACAGGUAGGGUUUGCUGUAGUAUCAGAUUCAGAAACCUUAAUUGCUAAACCUCUUC